UGAAGCUUUGUUGCCUCUUGUUAUUGAUAUUCAACAUGACAAUGUAAUUGGAACUCAAAAUAGUGUAAUUACUCAGACAAUCUCAAAUCCUGCAGAAUCAGGUUAUGACACGUGCCAAUCAAAGUUGAUUUUCUAGUUGUCACUUUUGAUUAUCUUAUUUGCUGCUACUAAAUGAAGAUGAGUGAUCCAUCCUACAACACAUGCUCAGGAAAAAGUGUUGUCAAUGACAGAACUCCAUUGUGCUUUUGCGAAAUUACAUCUGG